GAAGCCUCCAGGUGCCCCCGAGCGACGCCACACCAGAUACCUUCACUGUCGCCCUCGCACAUCAAGCCCGCACCCUCGCCGUCUCAGUCACCGCCGCCCUCACCCUCGCAGUCGCUGCCGAUCCCCUUCCCUCAUCAUCCUCCCUCAAGCGCUCGCCGCAACGACCGUGAGUGUGGCUGCUCCUCGCCCAUUCUCUGGCAACCGUCCCCUCCCCGCUGCCUCCGCCGACGCUGGAUAGAACGAGGUGGGUUCAACCAGUAGAGCCCUGGGCGAGAUCGCGUGCGAGUGGACGGAGUAGGCGCUGGUGGUCCUGGUGAACCAUGGGCGGAGUCAGAGCAGAGAGUUGGGGUGUAGGAGAUGAGGAGAAUGGGGUAGGCUUCAUGAUGGAAGGAGAUACGACGGCAAAGAAUGUGGAGGUCGGGUGUUACAUGGAGGCGCAUGUGCAAGUAGUCCAUUUAACACCAGUUUAGAAGAAAAAACUAUAUUCAUCCAGGUGAUGCCAUUCAUUUGCUAAGUGCUUCUGAAUUUUUGUUGUUCUAAUGCAUUUGCUUCUGAAUUAUGACAUGUGGAUUUGUUUUUUAAUCUGUUUAUGUGCAAGGUCAUGUAAGGAGAGCAAGGAUCCUUGGGAGAUGCUACUCUAAUUUUUUGCCAUUCAGAUGACACUAUUAUCACAAUCUUGUUAUGGCUGAAACAAUUGCCUUGCAUCAUAAUUUUUUUGAGUUAAUUAACAGGGAUAUAAUGCCGAAUACUUGGAGCACACUUUGUUAUUAGUACAAUGCAGAUUGAUUGUGCAAUUUGUGAGUAAGAGCACAUUUAGAUGGAAGUGGUGGUAACAGAAUAGGAGUACUAAAUAUGUUAUGUGUGUUUUGUACAAAACUAUUUCCCUUCUGUUCCAUGUUUUGGUCAUAUGCAAUCAUCCACCACAUCAGUAUCGCUAGCUGCACGAUUUGAUCUAUUUUCAUGAUGCUCAAUUGGAAUCUCUCUGCAUUUUGUAGAAAAAUGGCUGUGUAAGCUUUUGAUUAACCUGUAAUAGUUAGCUUGUCUUGUAUCUAUUUGAUCAGUUUUUCCAAAAAGUACGAACACACACAUUGUAUAAAUUUUACAUGGAUUUACAUGAUGGGCAAGUAGCCUUGGUCUCCUGCCUCUUCCAUUUUCAUAUGGUAUAUAUAGUUCUAAAUUCAGUUUAACAUGAAUCUUGAUAAUACUUUGUUGAAGUCGAAGUAGGAAUUAGGGCCAGGUAGAAUUAAAUUGCAACUAUUAGCGUAAUUAGCAUUGAUACCUCUGUCAGAGGUAUUCUAAGGAUUUGGCAUCAAGCACUAAUUAUGAAGAUUCAGUUUUCAUUGUGCCCACUUGACGUUGUCAGCGAUAUCCUUUAUGCCUUACAAUCCAUGUUGUUGUAUUCUUUCUUACCACAUCCAUUGUGUUGUUUUGUUAUGCUAAAUUAACCACAGGAUCGGGAGUAUGCUAUCAGCAAGAUCCUUUAUGCCUUAUAAUUCAGGUUGUUGUAUUCUUUCCUACCACGUCCAUUGUGUUCUUCUGUUAUGCUAAAUUAACCACUAGAUCAGGGGGACAGCCACCCAGUAACUCUUCCUUAUCUUCCCUCUCCUCUCUUAAACUUUCUAUGGUUCUUGGUUUGAUUCUCAAAGAGCUCGAACUCGUCUUGAGUUUUUGAUUAUGACCUUCCCUAUUUUGUUGCUACAGAUUACUGUACUAAUGUCUUGUGUAGCAAAUAUUUACUAAGAUGGGAUAAUAGGUAUACUAGUUUUCUAAUUCACGACUUCAUGUGAUUUCUUCCUGGUCUAUGUCAAGUCAAGUUAUUUUUGUUCUGAAUAAUUUACUAACACAGUGCAGGUUCAUGUGCAUAGCAAGUGUUAAAAAAGUCUCAAUUAUCUGCAUGGUAUAUCUAUUCAUUAUCUUUUCCAGAAUGAAGUGAGGUAUGGUCCGGAUCAAUGAACUCGAGAGGCGGCAGUGGAUCCCUAGGUUUUUUGGUUUCUGAAAGAGAAAUUUGUUUUGGCUUUUUUCUACACGCAUACCGUCAAUAAUGGAGAAUCAUGUGCAGGAAGUGAGAUUUGAGAAGCACUAGGGUGCGACAGUGGAGGAAGUAAAAUAUAUGUCGGAGACGGCCAUGAUGGCAUGAAUAUGAACCGUCCGGUUCUGAGGGGCAUCGAGAACAUCAUCAGAGCCCCUCAACAGCACCUGGUUCUGAGCAAGAGGGGGCUGGUCAGCAUGUUUGUGACAUGUUCUUCCAUGUGCAUAUUUUCACAUGACUCAUGCGCGGAGCCAGCGGGUCUGAGGAUUGAGCUCGUGCCCAAGCAGUAGAGCGAGGGAUACUUAUGAAACAUAUAUGUUGUGCCAAUGCAUCGUUAGGUGAACAUCUUUCUAUUUCACAGGUGAUUUACUUUCUUGACUUGGUGUGGCAUCUGUAAUUGCACAAGUGUGUUGGGUCAUAUUGAAAUAGUGUGGAUAGAUCAAUUUUGUUUAUUCAGAUCUGUCAUAAAUUGUCAUAUUGAAAGUUAGGAGGCUCACUCGUGUAGUUUUAAAAUAGCAAGUAGGUCUCCUUGGUAUACUCAAUACCCGACAGUGUUUGCAAUGCAAUAGUUGGUCAAAUACUGGACCUGGAUGUUAUACUCAUGUAGGAGUUUACGUCUAUUGCUACCUCUUGAGCAUUGUGUUGGUUU